rnacentral:rRNA from 1 species
UACGGGGGGGCAAGCGUUGUUCGGAAUUACUGGGCGUAAAGGGCUCGUAGGUGGCCAACUAAGUCAGACGUGAAAUCCCUCAGCUUAACUGGGGAACUGCGUCUGAUACUGGAUGGCUUGAGUUUGGGAGAGGGAUGCGGAAUUCCAGGUGUAGCGGUGAAAUGCGUAGAUAUCGUAAGGAAGACCAGUGGCGAAGGCGGGUCUCUGGACAGUUCCUGACGCUGAGGCACGAAGGUCAGGGGAGCAAACCGG